UUUAUAUGAGAGUUUGAUCCUGGCUCAGGAUGAACGCCGGCGGUGUGCCUAAUACAUGCAAGUCGAACGCGUUGGCUCAAUUGAUUGAUGGUGCUUGCACCUGAUUGAUUUUGGUCGCCAACGAGUGGCGGACGGGUGAGUAACACGUAGGUAACCUGCCCAGAAGCGGGGGACAACAUUUGGAAACAGAUGCUAAUACCGCAUAACAGCGUUGUUCGCAUGAACAACGCUUAAAAGAUGGCUUCUCGCUAUCACUUCUGGAUGGACCUGCGGUGCAUUAGCUUGUUGGUGGGGUAAUGGCCUACCAAGGCGAUGAUGCAUAGCCGAGUUGAGAGACUGAUCGGCCACAAUGGGACUGAGACACGGCCCAUACUCCUACGGGAGGCAGCAGUAGGGAAUCUUCCACAAUGGGCGCAAGCCUGAUGGAGCAACACCGCGUGAGUGAAGAAGGGUUUCGGCUCGUAAAGCUCUGUUGUUAAAGAAGAACACGUAUGAGAGUAACUGUUCAUACGUUGACGGUAUUUAACCAGAAAGUCACGGCUAACUACGUGCCAGCAGCCGCGGUAAUACGUAGGUGGCAAGCGUUAUCCGGAUUUAUUGGGCGUAAAGAGAGUGCAGGCGGUUUUCUAAGUCUGAUGUGAAAGCCUUCGGCUUAACCGGAGAAGUGCAUCGGAAACUGGAUAACUUGAGUGCAGAAGAGGGUAGUGGAACUCCAUGUGUAGCGGUGGAAUGCGUAGAUAUAUGGAAGAACACCAGUGGCGAAGGCGGCUACCUGGUCUGCAACUGACGCUGAGACUCGAAAGCAUGGGUAGCGAACAGGAUUAGAUACCCUGGUAGUCCAUGCCGUAAACGAUGAGUGCUAGGUGUUGGAGGGUUUCCGCCCUUCAGUGCCGGAGCUAACGCAUUAAGCACUCCGCCUGGGGAGUACGACCGCAAGGUUGAAACUCAAAGGAAUUGACGGGGGCCCGCACAAGCGGUGGAGCAUGUGGUUUAAUUCGAAGCUACGCGAAGAACCUUACCAGGUCUUGACAUCUUGCGCCAACCCUAGAGAUAGGGCGUUUCCUUCGGGAACGCAAUGACAGGUGGUGCAUGGUCGUCGUCAGCUCGUGUCGUGAGAUGUUGGGUUAAGUCCCGCAACGAGCGCAACCCUUGUUACUAGUUGCCAGCAUUAAGUUGGGCACUCUAGUGAGACUGCCGGUGACAAACCGGAGGAAGGUGGGGACGACGUCAGAUCAUCAUGCCCCUUAUGACCUGGGCUACACACGUGCUACAAUGGACGGUACAACGAGUCGCGAACUCGCGAGGGCAAGCAAAUCUCUUAAAACCGUUCUCAGUUCGGACUGCAGGCUGCAACUCGCCUGCACGAAGUCGGAAUCGCUAGUAAUCGCGGAUCAGCAUGCCGCGGUGAAUACGUUCCCGGGCCUUGUACACACCGCCCGUCACACCAUGAGAGUUUGUAACACCCAAAGUCGGUGGGGUAACCUUUUAGGAGCCAGCCGCCUAAGGUGGGACAGAUGAUUAGGGUGAAGUCGUAACAAGGUAGCCGUAGGAGAACCUGCGGCUGGAUCACCUCCUUUCUA
rnacentral:rRNA from 1 species